rnacentral:rRNA from 1 species
AUACGGAGGAUCCGAGCGUUAUCCGGAUUUAUUGGGUUUAAAGGGUGCGCAGGCGGCCAUUUAAGUCAGCGGUUAAAUCGUGGGGCUCAACCCCAUUCUGCCGUUGAUACUGGUUUCCUUGAGUACGGUACAGGUGGGCGGAAUUCGUGGUGUAGCGGUGAAAUGCUUAGAUAUCACGAAGAACUCCGAUCGCGAAGGCAGCUCACCGGGCCGGAACUGGCACUGAUGCUCGAAAGUGCGGGUAUCAAACAGGAUUAGAUACCCUGGUAGUCCGCACAGUAAACGAUGAAUACUCGCUGUUUGCGAUACACUGUAAGCGGCCAAGCGAAAGCGUUAAGUAUUCCACCUGGGGAGUACGCCGGCAACGGUGAAACUCAAAUGAAUUGGCGGGG